rnacentral:rRNA from 1 species
CCUACGGGUGGCAGCAGUGAGGAAUAUUGGUCAAUGGACGAGAGUCUGACCCAGCCAAGUAGCGUGAAGGAUGACUGCCCUAUGGGUUGUAAACUUCUUUUAUAAAGGAAUAAAACGAGGCACGUGUGCCUUUUUGCAUGUACUUUAUGAAUAAGGAUCGGCUAACUCCGUGCCAGCAGCCGCGGUAAUACGGAGGAUCCGAGCGUUAUCCGGAUUUAUUGGGUUUAAAGGGAGAGUAGAUGGGUUGUUAAGUCAGUUGUGAAAGUUUGCGGCUCAACCGUAAAAUUGCAUUUGAUACUGGCAGUCUUGAGUACAGUUGAGGUAGGCGGAAUUCGUGGUGUAGCGGUGAAAUGCUUAGAUAUCAGGAAGAACCCCGGUGGCGAAGGCAGCUUACUAAACUGUGACUGACAUUGAUGCUCGAAAGUGUGGGGAUCAAACAGGAUUAGAUACCCGGGUAGUC